UCGGGAAUAUUGGACAAUGGGCGAAAGCCUGAUCCAGCCAUGCCGCGUGUGUGAAGAAGGUCUUCGGAUUGUAAAGCACUUUAAGUUGGGAGGAAGGGCAGUUACCUAAUACGUAUCUGUUUUGACGUUACCGACAGAAUAAGCACCGGCUAACUCUGUGCCAGCAGCCGCGGUAAUACAGAGGGUGCAAGCGUUAAUCGGAAUUACUGGGCGUAAAGCGCGCGUAGGUGGUUUGUUAAGUUGGAUGUGAAAUCCCCGGGCUCAACCUGGGAACUGCAUUCAAAACUGACAAGCUAGAGUAUGGUAGAGGGUGGUGGAAUUUCCUGUGUAGCGGUGAAAUGCGUAGAUAUAGGAAGGAACACCAGUGGCGAAGGCGACCACCUGGACUGAUACUGACACUGAGGUGCGAAAGCGUGGGGAGCAAACAGGAUUAGAUACCCAUGUAGUCCCUGAGCGGGCUGGCAAGGCGCAU
rnacentral:rRNA from 1 species